ACAGCCACAUGCAGGGACACAGGUAGAUGGAGAGAGGGGCAAGGGAACAGAGAGAGAGGGAAGGGCAGAGAGAGAGAGGACGGGACACAGAGGGUGAGAGGCAGCACACACACAGAGACAGACAUCCAUAGGAGGUACAGAAAGGGUGGAGAGUGGGAGAGGCUGAGAGAAAGAUGUGGGAGAUUGAGUGUGCUCUUGGCAAAGGUCUACAAUAAUUGGAGUGGGUUCAACGGUCAAGGCCAUGCUGUGGGGAAGAACAGGAACAGGGUCAAUUACAUCCUGCGGAUCCCUCAACACACCACCCCAUGGCAGCAAUUAGACACGAGGGAAACUGGAUUUAAUGUGAAUUUUGAAGGCAGCCAUGGGAAUGACAAGUAGAACACAUUGUCUUCAAUGUGGCCAGUGGCCCGCCAGGCAACCCAACCUGGCGCCUUCGUCUAUGAUGAAGGCUACAAAGCGUGAUUCCUUGGUCCCAGCCCCUGCUUGCCAGGUGGUCUCUCUGCGUGUCUCUGUCUUCAUGUGGUGCUUUCUUCUUCUUACAAGGACAUCAGCCAUGCUGGAUUAGUUCCCACUACUACUCUCUGGGACCCCCAAAUCAGGUGCCAAGAACAUACACUGGGGAAAAGGCAGUCUCUU
rnacentral:lncRNA from 1 species